ACAUCCUCCUCUCAAACUGUUUUUGGAAAUUGGAGCAUGAGGAGUAGUAAUUCGCAGCUGUCCAAAGUGCACUCUCCAAUGGAAAAUCAAGAAUUCGCACACUAGAAGCAACAUUAAUGGAACCUGAGCUUGGAAUUCAACUUCCUGAAGUUUGCUGCGCUGCUGUUUUGAACUCAUAGGCUUGGAAACAUCACGAGCAAUACUGCCAUUUCCAGGUUUGAGGUUUUUUCGAAUCUCAUGAUUCAUUUAAUUG
rnacentral:lncRNA from 1 species